UACGGAGGGUGCAAGCGUUAUCCGGAUUCACUGGGGUUAAAGGGUGCGUAGGUGGGCAGGUAAGUCAGCGGUGAAAUCCCCGAGCUUAACUUGGGAACUGCCAUUGAUACUAUCUGUCUUGAAUACCUUGGAGGUGAGCGGAAUAUGUCAUGUAGCGGUGAAAUGCUUAGAUAUGACAUAGAACACCAAUUGCGAAGGCAGCUGGCUACACAAAUAUUGACACUGAGGCACGAAAGCGUGGGGAUCAAACAGG
rnacentral:rRNA from 1 species